rnacentral:rRNA from 1 species
CCUACGGGAGGCAGCAGUGAGGAAUAUUGGUCAAUGGGCGCUAGCCUGAACCAGCCAAGUAGCGUGAAGGAUGACUGCCCUAUGGGUUGUAAACUUCUUUUAUCUUGGAAUAAAGUGCAGUAUGUAUAAUGCUUUGCAUGUACCUUAUGAAUAAGGAUCGGCUAACUCCGUGCCAGCAGCCGCGUUAAUAAGGAGGAUCCGAGCGUUAUCCGGAUUUAUUGGGUUUAAAGGGAGCGUAGGCGGGUUGUUAAGUCAGUUGUGAAAGUUUGCGGCUCAACCGUAAAAUUGCAGUUGAUACUGGCAUCCUUGGGUACAGUAGAGGUAGGCGGAAUUCGUGGUG